AGAGUUUGAUCCUGGCUCAGGAUGAACGCUGGCGGCGUGCCUAAUACAUGCAAGUCGAGCGGUAAGGCCCUUCGGGGUACACGAGCGGCGAACGGCUGAGUAACGCGUGGGAAUUCACCCCAAAGUGAGGGAUAAGCAUCGGAAACGGUGUCUAAUACCGCAUAUGGUCUUCGGAUUAAAGUUUUAUACGCUUUGGGAGAAGCCCGCGUACGAUUAGAUAGUUGGUGAGGUAAUAGCUCACCAAGUCUACGAUCGUUAGCUGGUCUGAGAGGAUGAUCAGCCAGACUGGAACUGAGACACGGUCCAGACUCCUACGGGAGGCAGCAGUAAGGAAUCUUCCACAAUGGACGAAAGUCUGAUGGAGCAACGCCGCGUGCAGGAUGAAGGCUUUCGGGUCGUAAACUGCUUUUGUUAGCGAAGAAUUUGACGGUAACUAACGAAUAAGGAUCGGCUAACUCCGUGCCAGCAGCCGCGGUCAUACGGAGGAUCCAAGCGUUAUCCGGAGUGACUGGGCGUAAAGAGUUGCGUAGGUGGUUAUAUAAGUGAAUAGUGAAACCUGGUGGCUCAACCAUACAGACUAUUAUUCAAACUGUAUAACUCGAGAAUGGUAGAGGUAGCUGGAAUUUCUAGUGUAGGAGUGAAAUCCGUAGAUAUUAGAAGGAACACCAAUGGCGUAGGCAGGCUACUGGACCAUUUCUGACACUAAGGCACGAAAGCGUGGGGAGCGAACCGGAUUAGAUACCCUGGUAGUCC
rnacentral:rRNA from 1 species